GGCCGCGAAUUCGCCCUUAGGGUUUGAUUCUGGCUCAGGAUGAACGCUGGCGGCGUGCCUAAUACAUGCAAGUCGAGCGAAUGGAUUAAGAGCUUGCUCCUAUGAAGUUAGCGGCGGACGGGUGAGUAACACGUGGGUAACCUGCCCAUAAGACUGGGAUAACUCCGGGAAACCGGGGCUAAUACCGGAUAACAUUUUGAACCGCAUGGUUCGAGAUUGAAAGGCGGCUUCGGCUGUCACUUAUGGAUGGACCCGCGUCGCAUUAGCUAGUUGGUGAGGUAACGGCUCACCAAGGCAACGAUGCGUAGCCGACCUGAGAGGGUGAUCGGCCACACUGGGACUGAGACACGGCCCAGACUCCUACGGGAGGCAGCAGUAGGGAAUCUUCCGCAAUGGACGAAAGUCUGACGGAGCAACGCCGCGUGAGUGAUGAAGGCUUUCGGGUCGUAAAACUCUGUUGUUAGGGAAGAACAAGUGCUAGUUGAAUAAGCUGGCACCUUGACGGUACCUAACCAGAAAGCCACGGCUAACUACGUGCCAGCAGCCGCGGUAAUACGUAGGUGGCAAGCGUUAUCCGGAAUUAUUGGGCGUAAAGCGCGCGCAGGUGGUUUCUUAA
rnacentral:rRNA from 1 species